GACAGAGGAUGCAAGCGUUAUCCGGAAUUAUUGGGCGUAAAGAGCUCGUAGGCGGCUUGUCGCGUCGAAUGUGAAAACCUGCAGCUCAACCGCAGGCUUGCAUUCGAUACGGGCAGGCUCGAGUUCGGUAGGGGAGACUGGAAUUCCUGGUGUAGCGGUGAAAUGCGCAGAUAUCAGGAGGAACACCGGUGGCGAAGGCGGGUCUCUGGGCCGAUAUUGACGCUGAGGAGCGAAAGCGUGGGGAGCGAACAGG
rnacentral:rRNA from 1 species